GACGAACGCUGGCGGCGUGCCUAAUACAUGCAAGUUGAGCGCUGAAGGUUGGUACUUGUACCAACUGGAUGAGCAGCGAACGGGUGAGUAACGCGUGGGGAAUCUGCCUUUGAGCGGGGGACAACAUUUGGAAACGAAUGCUAAUACCGCAUAAAAACUUUAAACACAAGUUUUAAGUUUGAAAGAUGCAAUUGCAUCACUCAAAGAUGAUCCCGCGUUGUAUUAGCUAGUUGGUGAGGUAAAGGCUCACCAAGGCGAUGAUACAUAGCCGACCUGAGAGGGUGAUCGGCCACAUUGGGACUGAGACCAGGCCCAAACUCCUACGGGAGGGAGCAGUAGGGAAUCUUCGGCAAUGGACGAAAGUCUGACCGAGCAACGCCGCGUGAGUGAAGAAGGUUUUCGGAUCGUAAAACUCUGUUGGUAGAGAAGAAAGUUGGUGAGAGUGGAAAGCUCAUCAAGUGACGGUAACUACACAGAAAGGGACGGCUAACUACGUG
rnacentral:rRNA from 1 species